CCCCUUCCUCGGAAACGAGGGCUCGCCCCUGGGAGUUCCGCGGAAGGGGAGACGCCGGGAAGUGGCUCAAAGAAGUGGGCGUGGAAAGCGAGCGGGGCCUGUGCCGGCAGAAGCAAGAUCCCGGAGGCUUCGCGAUCCUCGCACUGGGUCCCCUCACCGGCCAGCUUAUGCGGGCCCAGGGGGCCGAGCGCGGGGCACCACCUGGGUCCUCACCGACAGGGCAUCACCUCAUUCCACCCCGCCCCCCUCGGCCCACCCAUGCUGCGGCGCCUCCAGGCCUAAUCUCCGACUGGCGGAUUUGUAUUGCUAAACCAAGAGCGACGCCCCACAGCGCCCGCCCCUGAGUCACCGGUUCUUGCAGCCCUCGCGAAGGGCGCACGCCAGCUGGGCGGGACUUGAGCCGCAGGCCCCAGCCUGGCCCCAUCCUUCGGGCUUCCUCUUUCUUUUGGGCAGUCAGGCUCGCUGGAGUCUGGUGAACAGUUUAGGUGCCCCUUCUAGGUGCCACCUUUUUCACUUCCCGAAGGAAGUUUGUCGAGCUGAGAGGAAUCCCUAAGAAACCGUUCGUCUUUAAAAGGGGAAGGGGAAGUGCGGAAUCAUAUUUAUGCUGCUACUAAGACUGAUGGCAACCAUAGGAUUCUUAGAUUAAUUGCUUCUGUGUGCCAGAUACCACCAGGAGCUUUACUACCUUACAAGAGGACGCAUAAUACAUUUCAAAAUACAAAGAAGUGGUUGUUACUCUGAUUCAACAGGUCUUGGGAGCAGCUGCCAGUCAAGAGAGAGACCCACGUGGAUUUCUUCAUGAUGGCAGCUAAAGGGAUAAGGGUGUGUUUCAACAUCCAGGGGAGAAGCAAAGCUCUCUGUAAGAGGCAAGAAUGGGUUUCUGCUUUUACAUGGCAACGUAAAAUCUGGCCAAGGGAGGCUUCACUUCGAGAGAAAAAGCCACGCUCCUGUUUUCAUCACACAUUCAUGACUUUGCAGCAUGACUGUCUAAGAAGUGAUCAACCAGAGGCGUUACAUGAAUGAUCUUCUGGGCUCCUGUUGGUCAGGAUCUAUCAGGCCCAGGUGACAACUAAACUGCACAGAGAGUUCGUUGCUGGAUCUGAGGGGCUCCUGUCUUGUUUCAUAACAGGUCCCUGCCGUGCUAUUGGUCUGGGGCUUUCCUCCUAAAAAAUGGACCCUCACUUAACACCUGCCAGGGAGAGUGGGCUGAGUGGGCAGUGGUGCAUGUGACCAUGUGAAGUCAGAGAAAAGCUAGAAGAGAUCUUACC